UGGUGACACUGAGGUGACACCGGUGACAUUGAGGUGACACUGGUGACACUGAGGUGACACCGGUGACACUGAGGUGACACUGAGGUGACACCGGUGACAUUGAGGUGACACCGGUGACAUUGAGGUGACAUUGAGGUGACACCGGUGA